UAGAAACGUCUUUCGUUCCACGUGAUCCAGCAGCCCUCUGAACUCCUACAUGACCGGGCAAGAGGUUAAAAGAAAAGUGAAGAGAAACGAUGCGAGAAAAUGUUGAGAGGUGUAAGAACGAUUCCACUUAAUGAACAGAGGAAAAAAGGAAGUUGGUAGAUGAGGCGGUCAAGUCGAUGUUGCUGGCCUACAUGCUGACUAGGGCCUCUUCGGGGUUUGGAGGUUACUAAAUCAGACGCGUGACACCGUUCGUAGAUUUGGAAACAGCACCGGGAACACGCACUAGAUAUUUAAAAUAUACAAGCAUUCUUGCGCGCGCACGGAACGCACGUGCGCUAGAUAUCUCAUUGCGGUGAAAGAAGAUGGAACGUCGUGGAGAAAGUAACUGUCCUCCCUCUCUGUCUCGCUAUACACCAUACCAGAAGACAAUUCGAAGCGAGGUCAAGGUCUUCCGCCACGCUUCAAUCGAUCAAUCAGCACGAAUGCACGUACACAUAUUUAUACCCACGUGGCUGUUAUUUCUCGUACGGAUUAAACUUUGCCCUAGCAUCAUUUGUAACGAUUGUCACAGUCAGAUGGUUACGUUCACUUCCACGAAUUCCCACUACAAAAUCAGUUAAUGCAAAAUGCCAAGGCUACCGAGAGCAACCGCUUCCUUUACCAUUUGCAAUUCAUCCUACUGAUACACGUUAUCCA